GGCUGGUCCAAAGGUAGUGAGUUAUCUCAACUGAUUGUUCACAGUCAGUUACAGGCCAAACCCCUUGUUCUACUCUUUCCCUUCUCAAUACUGCACUUGUUUUUA
ensembl:Y_RNA Y_RNA Y RNA